rnacentral:rRNA from 1 species
CAGUCGCCACGGGAAUACGUAGGGUGCGAGCGUUAAUCGGAAUUACUGGGCGUAAAGCGUGCGCAGGCGGUUUUGUAAGACAGGCGUGAAAUCCCCGGGCUCAACCUGGGGAUGGCGCUUGUGACUGCAAAGCUAGAGUGCGGUAGAGGGGGAUGGAAUUCCGCGUGUAGCAGUGAAAUGCGUAGAUAUGCGGAGGAACACCGAUGGCGAAGGCAAUCCCCGGGGCCUGCACUGACGCUCAUGCACGAAAGCGUGGGGAGCAAACAGGAUUAGAUACCCCUGUAGUCCCUGUCUCUUAUAC